rnacentral:rRNA from 1 species
CAAUAGCGUAUAUUAAAGUUGUUGCGGUUAAAAGCUCGUAGUUGGAUUUCUGCUGAGGACGACCGGUCCGCCUCCGGGUGAGCAUCUGGUUCGGCCUUGGCAUCUUCUUGGUGAACGUAUCUGCACUUGACUGUGUGGUGCGGUACCCAGGACUUUUACUUUGAGGAAAUUAGAGUGUUCAAAGCAGGCAAUCGCUCUGAAUACAUUAGCAUGGAAUAACGCUAUAGGACUCUGGUCCCUAUUGUGUUGGUCUUCGGGACCGGAGUAAUGAUUAAGAGGGACAGUUGGGGGCAUUCGUAUUUCAUUGGUCAGAGGUGAAAUUCUUGGAUUUAUGAAAGACGAACUU